rnacentral:misc_RNA from 1 species
UUUUUUGGUCCUUCGAGAAUACAGCCUUGCUGUACAAGAUUCAUAGAGUGUUAGAUCGACUUUCAUUGGGUUUGGUUUCCCUCGUAACCUUCCCUCACAUGUCGUCUCUCACUCAUACAGACAGGACCAUACAGUUUUUUGGUCCUUCGAGAAUACAGCCUUGCUGUUGACAAGCUGUGGAUUUCCAUCGACGUUUGGAAGAUAAUACAGCAACUUCAAGCAAAAUACAAGCUUUCUAUAAGACAACAGUCUUUCUUCGAGGAUCAUACAUUUUUUGGUCCUUCGAGAAUACAGCCUUGCUGCUGACAAGCUGCGCAGUCAUUCUGAACUUGCAAGCUAGAAGACAACAGUCUUUCUUCGAGGAUCAUACA